rnacentral:antisense_RNA from 2 species
UAUUAUGGCGGCUGUGCGCGGGGCGCCCUUGUGGCGCGCUGGGUUUGCCUUGGUACCCGGUCUACCAACCUGCGUAUAGCCGCCACCGAA